UGUAGUGACGAUGCCGGUUACACGCUCCCAGUCUGCCGGGGCGGAUGAUGCGGCACACCCCGAGGAGGUCGAGACCUCCGCUACUUCCGGAUCUAGUAAGGUCCGUGACUAGAGGGCCCAGCUUGCGGUCCUCACUGAUCUGUUGGCGCAGCAGACGGCGGCGGCGCAACGACAGGCUGAGGUCGCUCAGCGGCAGGAGGCGCGGAUGAAGCACCUUGAGGACCUCCUACUUCAGCAGGCGGCAGCUUCGAGGGAGACCCAGGGCCCCACACCGCCAGCACCCGUGGUGGACGUCGCACCGAGGGCGCAGUCCCCCGCGCCCAGUUCCUCACGUGCGGCACCGGCGA
rnacentral:lncRNA from 1 species